CUACGGGGCGCUCCAGUGGGGAAUAUUGGACAAUGGGGGAAACCCUGAUCCAGCAAUGCCGCGUGUGUGAAGAAGGCCUGCGGGUUGUAAAGCACUUUCGGUUGGGAGGACUGCUUCUAGCACUAAUAUUGUUGGAAGUUGACGUUACCUUCAGAAGAAGCACCGGCUAACUCCGUGCCAGCAGCCGCGGGUAAUACGGAGGGUGCAAGCGUUAAUCGGAAUUACUGGGCGUAAAGCGCGCGUAGGCGGCUAGAUCAGUCGGGUGUGAAAGCCCCGGGCUUAACCUGGGAACUGCAUCCGAUACUGGCUAGCUUGAGUACAGGAGAGGAGAGUGGAAUUCCACAUGUAGCGGUGAAAUGCGUAGAUAUGUGGAGGAACACCAAUGGCGAAGGCAGCUCUCUGGCCUGAUACUGACGCUGAGGUGCGAAAGCGUGGGGAGCAAACAGGAUUAGAUACCCGGGUAGUC
rnacentral:rRNA from 1 species